rnacentral:rRNA from 1 species
GACGAACGCUGGCGGCGCGCUUAACACAUGCAAGUCGAACGGAAAGGCCUGCUUUCCCUUGUGGAUUGCGGGUACUCGAGUGGCGAACGGGUGAGUAACACGUGAGUGAUCUGCCCCCAACUUGGGUAUAAGCCUGGGAAACUGGGUCUAAUUCCCGAUAGGACUGCAGGGUGGUGCCUGUGGUGGAAAACGAUUUUCUAGUGGUUGGGGAUGAGCUCGCGGCCUAUCAGCUUGUUGGUGGGGUAAUGGCCUACCAAGGCGGCGACGGGUAGCCGGCCUGAGAGGGUGGACGGCCACAUUGGGACUGAGAUACGGCCCAGACUCCUACGGGAGGCAGCAGUGGGGAAUAUUGCACAAUGGGCGGAAGCCUGAUGCAGCGACGCCGCGUGGGGGAUGACGGCCUUCGGGUUGUAAACUCCUUUCGACCGCGAGGAAGCCACCUGGUUGGAAGGGUGGUGACGGUAGUGAUAGAAGAAGCACCGGCUAACUACGUG